AAGGAGUGCAACUUAAGCUUUGAAGACAGACAUCUUCAACGAAUUUGUAGUUUUCAAUAUAAAAAGUGUAUUUGAACAGAGCAAAGCAAUUUCAAGUGCUGAAUCUACUUAUUAUCGAUGUAAAAUAUUCUCUCACGAAUAACUUUUUAUAUCAAUUUUAUUGGGCUUAUCACCACGUUGGUUAGACCAUUGAAAUAUACAAAGCCAGAUAAAAACACUUAGUUUCGAUACAGAUGACUCUUCGGCCACGCUUCUUUGGCAUAUUUUUUCUUCUUGGGCUCGAGGGAAUAGGGUUCAUUCGACAUACUAACUUCCUGAAUAGAUGGGACAUCAGUCUGCACCUGACUUGGAGCCAUUUCGACUUCUGGAGCUGGAUUAGGAAGUGCAAUACCCAAUCGAGAUGUCAACGAGGUCAAAGCUGUUGAGAAAAAAUUACUGGGAGUUGAGGGGCUAUAUUGCUCUGGUGGAAUGUCGUGGUAGAGUUGGGAGACAGGAGAAGUUGGUUGGAGGGGCUUGAGACGAUGAUGUGGCUCUUCGUGAAAAGAUAUCAAUCCUCCUUCUAGUCUCAUGCGCUGUAAUGACAGAGAGAUUAAAAAAUGGAUAAAAAUUAAGGGUGCUACAUUUUUAUUCAUGCUACAGAACAACUACUGAGAUGAUUCAAUACUCAAUUUAACAGUUAAUCCCCAUUGAGUUUGUUCAAGGAUUAAUACUAUGACAUCAAGACUAAUGUGGCAAAAUAAGAAACUAAUAAUAAUAGGCAACGAGUUUUCAAAAUGUUUGUAAAAAUGGGUUUGCCAAUGAAGGGCAAAUUGUGAAAAAUUAUAGGAUCGCCAUUCUAAAUUUAUAUAGAAUGGCUUCAGCAGUGACUUUAAUUCAAUGGCAUUUUGUAUUUUUGAAACGUUUUCUUGCCAUUCCUCAGAUAGAAGGCAGGCGUAGGUCUAAACAAAUGUACAAAUAAAAUAAAAACGUGAUAAUAAAUAUACCAAGUAUAACUGGA